rnacentral:rRNA from 1 species
AACGAACGCUGGCGGCAGGCUUAACACAUGCAAGUCGAACGAGACCUUCGGGUCUAGUGGCGCACGGGUGAGUAACGCGUGGGAAUCUACCUUGGAGUCUGGGAUAACCGACGGAAACGACGGCUAAUACCGGAUACGCCCUGAGGGGGAAAGGUUUACUGCUCCGAGAUGAGCCCGCGUCCAAUUAGGUAGUUGGUGAGGUAAAGGCUCACCAAGCCGACGAUUGGUAGCUGGUCUGAGAGGAUGACCAGCCACACUGGGACUGAGACACGGCCCAGACUCCUACGGGAGGCAGCAGUGGGGAAUAUUGGACAAUGGGGGCAACCCUGAUCCAGCCAUGCCGCGUGAGUGAUGAAGGCCUUAGGGUUGUAAAGCUCUUUCGCCGGUGACGAUGAUGACGGUAACCGGAGAAGAAGCCCCGGCUAACUUCGUG